AAUGAUUUUGUAUUCAUUCACUUUCUCGAGUCAGAAUACAAUGUAUCUUUAUAUAUAGGGUCAAUGUGACCUAACCCAAAAACUCUCCUGGCUAACUCAAUAUAAGAUUGCACUCAUUCAAGCUUAUGCACACCCAUGACUUGACCUAAUAUUAUAAUCUUGGACUCAAUCAUAGUCCAAAUAUAAGUUAGCCCCUCAAGACCCA
rnacentral:lncRNA from 1 species